rnacentral:rRNA from 1 species
AAUACCGCGUAACGCGGCCUAGGGACAUCCCAAGGCCGCCAAAGGGAGCAAUCCCGGCCACGGAUGGGCAUGCGGCGCAUUAGCUAGUCGGCGGGGUAACGGCCCACCGAGGCGACGAUGCGUAGGGGUUCUGAGAGGAAGGCCCCCCACACUGGUACUGAGACACGGACCAGACUCCUACGGGAGGCAGCAGUGAGGAAUAUUGGUCAAUGGGCGCGAGCCUGAACCAGCCAAGUCGCGUGAGGGAGGACGGCCCUACGGGUUGUAAACCUCUUCUGCCGGGGAGCAAAGUGCCGCACGUGUGCGGUUUGGAGAGUACCCGGAGAAAAAGCAUCGGCUAACCCCGUGCCAGCAGCCGCGGUAAUACGGAGGAUGCGAGCGUUAUCCGGAUUUAUUGGGUUUAAAGGGUGCGUAGGCGGACGCUUAAGUCAGCGGUAAAAUUGCGGGGCUCAACCUCGUCGAGCCGUUGAAACUGGGUGCCUUGAGUGGGCGAGAAGUACGCGGAAUGCGUGGUGUAGCGGUGAAAUGCAUAGAUAUCACGCAGAACUCCGAUUGCGAAGGCAGCGUACCGGCGCCCAACUGACGCUGAAGCACGAAGGCGUGGGUAUCGAACAGGAUUAGAUACCCUGGUAGUCCACGCAGUAAACGAUGAAUGCUAGUUGUCCGGGGCGAUUGAGUUCUGGGUGACACAGC